rnacentral:lncRNA from 1 species
UGUGUUGUUCUCAAUUAUUCAAGCUCUGCGAAGCAAAGCCAAUCCCAAAAGGCAUCUUCUCCCACCUGGACCAAAGCCAUUUCCCUUCAUCGGCAAUCUUUUAGAGCUUGGCAACAAACCCCAUCAAUCUCUCACCAAGCUUUCUCAAAUCUAUGGCCCCAUUAUAACUCUGCAACUAGGCCAAGUAACAACGGUGGUUGUUUCUUCACCAAACACAGCCAAACAAGUCCUCCAAACCCAUGACCAAUUCUUGUCCAACCGAACCGUCCCAGAUGCAAUCCAAGCCUGUGACCUUCGUCAGGACAGCCUGCCAUGGAUACCACCUUCGGCCAAAUGGAGAAGCCUUCGACAAAUAUGCAACUCUCAAUUGUUUGCCGCCAAAAUCCUCGACGCCAACCAACCCAACCGCUGCGUAAAAGUGCAAGAGCUCAUAUCUCAGGUCAACGAAAGUGCGGUCAAUGGUGAGGCGGUAGAUAUUGGAAGGGCCGCUUUCAAAACUACUCUCAAUCUGCUGUCUCGUACUAUUUUCUCAGUGGAUUUAGCUGACCCAAGUAGCGAGAUGGCUAGGGAGUUCAAGGAGACUGUGUGGGGUUUGAUGGAAGGGGCAGGGACCCCAAAUGUGGGGGACUUUUUUCCUGUCCUUCGGAAAAUUGACCCCCAGGGCAUUAGGCGGCGCAUGAUCAAACAUUUCAACAAGAUGGAACAGCUCUUUGACCGCAUGAUUAGCCAAAGAUUGGCAUCAAGAAAAGCCCAUGAUUAUGUCAAAACCAAUGAUAUGUUGGAUACUCUUUUGAACAUCAGUGAAGCGAACAGUGAGGACAUGGACAAGACCAAAAUUCAACAUCUGUUUCUGGUUAGUUGUUUUGUCUUUGCUCAUCAUUAUAGUUAAAUUACUGUAUCAAUUAAUUUAAUUUACAGAGAGAAGGGAUUUGAACUUAAGUUUAAAGAGUGGGCGAACUGGCCUGACCGUCUACUCUCGUUAGGUGUUUUUGUUUUUGGUUUUUAAUCCCAAUUUUUUUUUCUGACUUGUUAUGUUAAAAAGGCUCUAUUUGCCGCGGGCACAGAUACAACUUCAGCCACAUUGGAAUGGGCCAUGGCUGAGCUGCUACGCGACCCUGAAAAGCUAUCAAAAGCUCAACAAGAGCUGGAACAAAUCAUUGGCAAAGGAAAACCAGUAGAAGAAGCAGACAUUGCUCGACUUCCUAACUUACAAGCAAUAAUCAAAGAGACCCUUCGGUUGCACCCAGCAGCUCCAUUGCUUCUCCCUCGCAAAGCCGAUUCAGAUGUUGAAAUCUGCGGGUAUAUUGUACCCAAGGGUGCACAAGUGUUUGUAAAUGCAUGGGCUAUCGGUAGAGACCCCAGCAUUUGGGACAACCCAAGCUCGUUUAUGCCGGAGAGGUUCUUGGGAUUGGAUGACCAAAUUGAUGUUAUAGGCAAAAACUUUGAGCUUAUCCCAUUUGGUGGUGGGAGGAGAAUAUGUCCUGGCUUGCGAUUGGCAAUGCGAAUUCUGCCCUUGAUGUUGGGUUCACUCAUUAACUUUUUUGAUUGGAAGCUUGAAGAUGGGGUUAUACCAGAGACUUUGAACAUGGAAGAGAAAUUUGGCCUCACCUUGCAGAUGGCUCACCCUCUUAGAGCUCUGCCCAAGUCAUUUUGUGAAAUUUAAUGGAGUCUAUAUAUGUCACUUAUCUAAGUUAGUAUUGAAACUUGUUAACAAUCAUGGUUGUAAGUUAUUGUUUCCAUAACAAUACUUCAUAAUGGCUUUUGGGUCUAAUGAUAUUUAGUUUCCACUCCUUUUUAUUAAGCUCUUAUAUCAGAAAGAAUGAAUCUUUUCUCUUAUCUUUUUUAUGCUCUCUUUUCUUCUUCUUCUUCUUAUGAUUCAAUGAAUCUUAAUAUGUGUAAACUUCAAAUCUCAUGCACAUGCGUUUGUUGUAUUAUUAGAUACUAAUAAUUCGCACACAUACUAUGCAUGAGUAGAGAAUAAAUAUCCCUCAUUACAUUAACUUCUUUUUGGUUAGUGCAAUUUAAAUAAGAGGAUAAUUAGCACUUUUGACAAAGUGGUUGACAAGAAACCUUAAGGCCAUUGAAUUGAAGACCUCGAGCCUUAGUCCUCAAGACAAUAAGACCUACACACUCAUAUAAUAUGCCAACGUCCAAUACCUUCAUCUAUGGGGCAUAGCCUUGGCUAAGUUGGCCAAAUCCAGGUCCUUCGUAUUCUAUACUCCCUUUUUUUGGUUGGCCAAAUUUAGGUUGGGAAAAUGUUUUUUCACACUCACUGUUAAGGUACAUUAGUGUUCGAACAUGAGACCACUGUCCUACAGAUCAUUGCCCUUUUCCAGUUGGCUAGACAUCAUUGAUCACUGUCUGAGGAGCAUUGCUACUACAGCAAAGGUGGUGUAGGUUGAUAGUACUGAUGUUAUUGAAGGCGUGCUUGUUAGAGAAAACAUCUUCAAAUAUAAAGAAUUGUAAUGAAAAGGAGGUUUUGUUUUUGUUUUUUUGUUGUUGUUGAUUAUUGGCUUGUUGAGUUAAGUUGGAAAUUCAGGUGAAGGGAUUUUAUAGAACAAAAAAUGGGAUAUCUAGCUUCCACUUGAAGCUCUUUGAACUCAAGUUGAUGCUUAAAAUAUUAGCAAGCUUUCCCCAAACUUUUCAAAUUUGGUCAAUGUUUAGAUGAGUGAAACAAGCUUCUCAAGCCAUUUUCAAAAGGAAAUUACAUCUUUUAUUUAUGGCAAAAAGUUACUUUUGGUCUUUGUGGCUUAUCUCUUUUACUACUAAGGCCCCCUAUAGUUUCAAUUUGAUCAUUUUUGCGUACGUGGUUUCACUUUGAAGCAAUUUAAGGAUAAUCAUCAAUUUCUGUCAAAUUUUUUUUUUAUAACUUCAGCUCAUUGUGCAUGGGCAAUUUGGUCCAUAAAUUAUCAAAAAAUCAAUUCCUUUUAAAGUUUAAAAAAAAAUUUAAAAAAUUUUCAAUUCCUUUCAAAAAUAAACAAUACAAUUUUCAAAAUAACAAAAAGAUUAGGGGCCGGUAAUGUUUUCAAGGCCCUGUUUUCAUUUUCUACCAAAAAUUCGUUUGGUAUGUCGUUUUCAUUUUUUAUUGGAAUUCAUUUUCUGAAAAUAAAUUAAAACUCAUGUACAAAAACUGAAAACACCAAAUUAUCGUUUUCAUUUUCUAUCUAGUGUAUUGGUUGAUUGCCUUUUUUUCUUUUUCUUUUUGUUGGUCUGAAUUUUUUUUCUUUUUCAUUUGUCAGUUAUUUUUUCAAUUUUUAUUUUUUUUCGCUGCACUUCAUUAUUUUAUUUUGUUGCACGAGUGUAUAUUAAUUUUAUGAUAAAACCAUCAUAUAUUAUUCAAUUUCAUAUUUAUUUUAAACUAAAGAUAAUAGAAUUUUAUUAUCUAGGUUUUUCUAACAUUAGAAUUUUUAUUCUCAAAUGAUACAUUUUUCAUUGUUUAUAAUAAUUUUAGCCUUAAAAAAUAUAUGAGAUUUUUUUUUAAAAAAAAAUUUUAGGACAUAAAUUAGCAAAAAAUAUACUUGAAAAAUAACUCACAUAUUAUUAUUCUCAAAUUCUCCCCACCAGACACUUUUUCACUGUUUUUAUUUUCUGAAUAUGUUUUCCAAUUAAUAUACCAGAUGCAUUCUUGAAUCCUAAAAAUGCAAUUCGUUUGCUCAUUUUCAUUCUUAGAAAAUAUUCUCAAGAAACAUUCUCCAAAAACGUUACCAAAUGGGCCCUUACAAUUCGAAAACCCCAUAUCUUCAUGAUUUUUGGAUACAAUUUCAAAACUGUAAUUAGUAAUCUCCCCAAUAUAUCACAAGUCGAAGCAAUGAGAGAGACAGAGAUGGAGAGAGGGUGGAUUUGGGUAGUGGCUGUGGUGGAUCUGGGCUAGGUGGAGGAGAGAGAAAGAGGUUGGGAGAGGAGAAGGGGAGUGGGAGGCUAUUUCAAAACUAAUUAUUUUAUUUUAUUUUUUAUUUGUAAAAGGAAAGGAUUUUUUGAUAAUUUGUGGACCGAAUUGCCCCUACACAACUAACAAAAAUUUGAAAGAAAUUGAGGAUAGUCCUUGAAUUGCCUCAAAUUGAAACCACAUGAAUAAAAAUGAUUAAAUUCAAACCAUAUGGACAAAAAUGAUCAAAUUGAAACCGCAUGGACUUUAAUGGUAGAAGUGAUAAACCAUAAAAACUAAAAGUUGUUGUAAAGUAGAAUGGGUGAAGCCCACAUAGUCAAAAGGUGAACAGUGAUAAUUGGGUAGAAACAUCAUUAUGUCUUCUCUUUUAUUCACGGGUGCCAUUUAACAUGCCUAUAAAUAGGCAACGCUCUUGCCUGCAAAGAUAGAGAGAACUAACAUUCAAUGAAGAGAUCAGUUUCUAUACUUUCUCUAUAUCUCAAUUCUCUCCAUAAUCUCUUUAGUUUAUAACACGUUAUCAGCACGAUUUCUCUAUCUCUCUGUCUCUCUCUCCCAGCCAUAGCCAGAACCACAGAGUAAAAGCUAGCGGAAGAGCAAACAUCAUUUUACAUCUGUGGGUGGGAGUUUAGGUUAGCUAGCUUGUGAAAUAAUCAUGGCAGCUCCCAUUUCUAGCUCCUCCUUCCUCAUGAGGUACAUCAUUUGUUGCUCUGGUUUUCUAUGCCUGAUUCUGUGCUCUUCGGAGAAGGGCUUUGCCUUGGAAGAAAGAGAACAUGCUCACACAGUUGAAGUCAAUUCUCUGCUUUCUGCAACCACCUGCAGCUCCUCCUCCUCCUCCUAGCCACUGAUUUCUGGCGUGUGAAAAAAAAAGAUGAGAGAAGCCAUGGCUCUUCAGAGGAGAAAAAGUUGGAGCUCAGGCUUGGGCCUCCAGGUGAAGACUGGUCUUUGAAUGGUAACUCCAGAAGCAACAAAGAAAGAGAUGAGUCUCUUCUCUCUCUUGGGUACCUUUCCCCUAUGUCUUCCAACAACAACAACAACAACAACAACAACGUAAACCACCACCGAACCCAGAAAUUUAUCUCUCCCUCAGACAAGUCUGUUUUGUCCUCAUCUCCAUGGUCUUACCAGCUGGGAAAUAUUCAUCAACAUCAGACAAAAGUUCCAUCUUUUCUUCACUUCACAUCAAGUUCUCAGGGCCUGCCUGUUACCCCCAACAAAGCAUCACAGCCCUGUUGCAC